rnacentral:rRNA from 1 species
AGCGAACGCUGGCGGCAGGCUUAACACAUGCAAGUCGAGCGGGCACUUUCGGGUGUCAGCGGCGGACGGGUGAGUAACGCGUGGGAACGUGCCCUCUGGAUCGGAAUAACUCAGGGAAACUUGAGCUAAUACCGGAUACGCCCUUUUGGGGAAAGGCUUGCUGCCGGAGGAUCGGCCCGCGUCUGAUUAGCUAGUUGGUGAGGUAACGGCUCACCAAGGCGACGAUCAGUAGCUGGUCUGAGAGGAUGAUCAGCCACACUGGGACUGAGACACGGCCCAGACUCCUACGGGAGGCAGCAGUGGGGAAUAUUGGACAAUGGGCGCAAGCCUGAUCCAGCCAUGCCGCGUGAGUGAUGAAGGCCUUAGGGUUGUAAAGCUCUUUUAUCCGGGACGAUAAUGACGGUACCGGAGGAAUAAGCCCCGGCUAACUUCGUG